GUUCGGGCUGCAUUGAGGCCAGUGGAGAAGGGGCAACCCUCAUGGGACCCCCCCCUCGCCUCCAACAACUCCCCCGGAAAGGGUUGCUCCCAGUUACAUAAUUGCCUGAAGUGAUAACAGAGAAUGAUCCAUGAUAAAACUGAUCUGUGAUAGCAGUUUCACACAUCCGUGUAAUGAAGUGAUGGCUGUUAUAAUUACCAAGUGAAAAACGUAAUCACCACAACUCAAUGCAGGCAAAGGAAGGUCCUCCUUUGAAGACCGACAGGAGUUCGCUUCAGACUGCAGCUUUCGCCACCCCUGCUGCAAAAGUGAGAAAAGCUGCCCCUUCUGAAGUUCCCUCUUUUGCACAACUAUGAAAGCUACAGAAGCCCUGUCCUCCUUCACAUCCAGUCAUUCUACCCUCACCACUUUUUAACCCAGAACUGUGAACUUUAUUGUGAUCGUUGUGAUACUAGACCAGCCUUGCUAUGCAACCUUCUUAGAAACCAAGCAAAAUGAUUCAUUUGACUUUUCAGCAGUUUGAUUUAUGAGUUUCAAAUAUAGUUCCUCCCAGAUGGUAUGGUACUAUUCUGCAUGUACUGGUGAAAUACAAUAGAGCCUUAUAUUUCUGAGUUACUGGGGCAUUUCCAAAUAUCUCAGACAACAAAAAUAUCAGAUUGGGGGGGGGCGGGUUAUGGCUCUGCUAUUGUGCCUUAGCAGGUGACACUUUUCCUAUCAUUAUGCUGGGAAAUUUUGCAGCAGUUGUGGUUAAAGGCUCAGGAGCAGAAGCAGGCGGUAAAGGUGAUAACCCCAGAUCACAGAAAUAGAAGGUUUGGUUAUGUUUUUGCUAAUUUUCUGUAUACCAGUGUACCCAUCAUUACAGCACUGUGAUGAGAAAAGUCACCACCAGCCAACCUAUGUAAACCUAACCAUCCAGAGCUAGAAAAAAUCCAAAUAAUAAGAGGUUGCACUAUGGAUAUUUAGAUGCAAUAGAUUAGAUUUAUUGAAAAGUAAAUUUGUUCAGGAUCUAGUCUGCUUCUAUCAACCUGUUCACUAUAAGACAGACAUCUUGCUAUCUUUAUUCCUGGCAGAGACUCUGUGCUGUUAACAGCUGUAUGGCAGGAACAAAUUUCAGUAAGUGAAACAUUUGCCAUUAUUUAUUCUGCAUUCUACACCAGUUGAAUUUCUGUUUGUUGUGUAACUGAUAAAUGAAUCAGGGGGACA